UCUCAUCUCACAAUUGAAGCCAGCUCUUCUAUUUUCUUCUAGGGUUCGAAGCUGGCUCUUCUAUUUUCUUCUAGGGUUCUCCUCCAUCUCCUUCAAUCAGGUAAUAAUUGACUCUUUUCUUUACAAUAGGAGAUGGAAAGCCUCAGGAACUCAUAAUUUGAUAUGGGUUUUUUCUGUGGACUACCGAAUUAUCCUUCAAUUCGAGAUUUGCUAUUUUUAUUUUUAUUUUUGGGUUUGAGGGUGUUGUUGGGAUGGAUUUGAAUCAGAUUUUAGCAGUUGGAUUUGAUAAUUUCAUGAAGAUCUGAUUUUUAUAUGAUACUAUAACAUUUUCAAGAUUUUAUCUUUACGGUCUGGGGAAAUUUUGGAGCCUCUGCACGAACUACUCUAAUAAAAAAUAAUUUGUGUUAAUUUGAGAAUAAAAAUGAGAUAAAAAAGAAUUUGAAACAUAAAUAUAAUAUGUAAAAAUUAUGAACUUUUCAUGCAAUUAAUAUUGUUUAUGUUAUUCCUCUCUGAACGACUCGGUUAUAUAUUUUAUUGUUCUUGAGAAGUUAUAAUUUAUUGGCUUGAUUUUUACUAUUUUAUUGUUUGGUUAGAAUAAAGAGAUAUCACAUUGAGAAAUUGUGUCAAUGCAUUCAGAAAUUGUACCGAGUCGAGUUCGAACUUGCUGUUAUUUUGUUGAUAAUUAGUUUAGCCCUAAUUUAUAAUAAGCAAUAUAGUUUAGUACAAUAAUUGGUAAUAUUUACUUAAAAUACAGAGCCCAACCAUCUGCGAAUUAACAUUAUGCAUUAUAAUUAAUCAUUUUAAAAACUUAAAUAAUCAUUCUGUGUUCUCAAGUCUGAAUUUAUUUCAAUUCCACCUUUUUAUUGUCAAUUUGAUGAAAUUUUGUUGCACAUAGACAUAAUAGGCAGCACAUAGACAUAACCGUGUGUGAGUGUAGAGCUGGGUGGGGUGGAUGAGGGAUUUGUUUGUUGGAGUUGUAUUUGGUUGUUCAAUUCUGUAGCUUGGUUUCUAGAUUUAUGAUCAUUAUUAUUGACUUGAUUUCUUAUAAAAUUAUUUCAGGCUAUGUGAUUAAUUCUUGCUCCAUUGUGAAGUAUGAUAGAUCAACGCAAUUAUCUAAAAUUUCUGGAUUGGAAAAAUAAUCUGUUUGGUGUUGCUUGCUUGCUCUAUUUGCUUCUUGUAUAUGGUCUAAUAUGUGGUGCAUUAUUUAUGUUGUAUAGACAACUGAAGGAGAUGCUUUAACUUGGAAGCUGGUAAAGAUUAAAAUGAAUUUAAUUUCACAUUUUCUUGUUCAUUCAUGCUUUUUCCUUUUCUCCUUUUUAAUUUGUUUUUGAAUGGAAAAAGCUUCAUUUUUUAGCUAUUGUAGAGGUCUUGAGGAAUUUCUUGUUUGUUUCUCUGAUUCUGUGUCAUCAAGAUGGAUGUAGCAUCAGGCUAACAACCAAGAAAACUAGCUGUGUCAUCAAAAUGGAUGGCUAUAGAUGGAUGGAUCAGAUUUUAUCUGUCUUUCUGGUGAAUUUGGAUGUAAAUAUAAAUUUCUUGGCAUCUGGUUUAUAAUUUGCCAGGUUCUUUUGGAAAUGUGCACUAAAAUAAUCCAGGGCGUUUCAUUUUCUUCCUUGCAAGUUAUGAGAUUCUGGGGAUUAAAUCUUUUGCUAACUUUCAGUUUAUGCAGUAGAAAAUAGAAAAAGAUAUAGCCCCCAGACCUUUAAGGAGGUAUUUGUGAACGCCAAAAACUGUUGGUGAUGCUUUAAUUGACAGAAAUUCCACUACACUCUUCACUUAAAUUAGCUACAUGAUUCAUAUGGUACAACUGAGAUAAAGACAGUAAAGCUGGUUGACACACUAAAAUAAACGUGGUUAAGAAAGAAAGACUGCUUCCUCGUCUACUUUGUUGUUCCAGCACCAUCAUCCUCAGGGAGGGGAAGGGGUGUGACUAUAGCUUUUAUGGAAAGUAUUUUCUAUUUGGUUGCUCUAUUUGCUUCUUCCUCUAUUUGUUGAGCCAUGAUCCUAGCGAGCACUUAAGUUGGUUUUCUAUUAGUCUAGAUUAAUAUUCCAUUCACUUGAAUAAGUCUCAAUGAUAUGUCAAUUUUUGGAAACCGAGUGGCUAUGUUCUCUUGACUUUUUAUGCGACAUAACUCUGGGUUUGGAUGGGAUCAUGUGACGAAGAAAUUUACUGCUAGUGAUGAAGUAUGGGACAAUUACUUUAUGGUGAGCUUCCUUUAUUACUUGAUUUAGAAACUUAUGAAAUUUGAGUUAAUGGUCAGUGAAGUGUAUGUUUCAUAUGUUAACAUUUAUAAAUAUUUUUUUCUUUAAUAGUCUCAUUCCGAAGAUAAAAGUUAUCGCACAGACACUUUUCUAGACUAUGAGGAUUUGAGAAUUGCAAUGGGAAGUGGGACAGCUGUUGGGACACACUCAAUUGCAUUAGGGGAUAAUACUGAUGCAAGAACAUUUUAUACAGAAGAAAGAAGAGUUAGCGACAGUUUAAUAGACGACUUCAUGUAUGAUCCUGAUACUGAAACAUUUAUAGUAAUUGAUAAACAAGAUCUUAUAAGUUCAGGGGUUUGCCCAUUAAUUCGAAAACGAAGUAGAACAGAAUUUGAAGCAAAAUCUAGUUCGUUUGAGCCCAAAAGCACUCAAUUAGGCAUUUUAGAUAAACUUGCUAGUACAUUUGACAAGAUCACUCAAGCAAUUGAAUCAAUUGACACCAGAGAGCCUAAUUGUUGGAACAUUAUCAAGGACAUCCCAAACUUGGAGGAUGAUGAUCGUUUUAAGGUCCUUGAUUUGCUUAAUACAAAAGCAAAAAAGUCUGAGUUCUUGAACAUGACACCCGAAGAACGUUCUAAAUGGAUAACAUUUAAAUUAAAUUGAAGCUUUGUUUUGUGGACAUGAUUCAUAGUAAUUUUUGAAGUUUUUGAAUUGUUUCUCGUUUGAUUUAUUGUUCGUAUUUUUUUUUUUUUUGAUAUUUUAUUAAUUUGACAACAAUUGUGAUUCAUUUUACAUGACAUUAUCAUUUUCCUUGUCUAUGGAUUUAAUUUUUGUUCCUUUUAUUUUAGGUACUUCCAUAUAUAUAAUGUCUAGUGUUUAACAUUAAUGAAGAUCAUGAAAAAGAGGUGGAUGAGAUUGAAGAAGACGGCUAUAAAGAAGCAUUAUAUGAAACUAGUUAGUAUUUAUGGAUGGCAAUUCAAGCAAUUCUCUACGUGAUAAAUGAUCAUAUAAACAAUGUGUUGUAGACGUAUUACACGUUCACUAACUAGGCGACCGAAAACUAGAUAUGAAUAUGACUAUAUACAUAAAAUAUUAAAGGAGGAUCCAGAAAACUUUCGACAAGUUUAUAAAAUGUACCUGGAUAUAUUUCUAAAUUAAGCAAUAUCAUUAAAGAAAAAACUUACAGGAUACUAGGUAUAUUUGUAUUGAAGAAAUGCUUGCAACAUUCCUACUUGGUCAAAAUACUCGAUAUUGCUUGAGUCGUCAAAAAUUUGGUCGAUCCCAUUUCAUUACUAGCUGAAGUUUCAACAAGAUUUUACGGACAUUAAACAAAUUUGCGGUAGAUAUGAUAGUCAAACCGAGAUUCGCCGUGCCAGAAAAAAUAAGGGAAAUUACAAGAUUUUACCCAUACUUUAAAGUAAGUGAUGAAAUAAGAUUUAUAAUAUUUUUUGUUUUAUGUUUUCAUUAGUGUUUUUGUGAAUUUUUUGUAUUGUUUUAUUAUUUUUAGGAUUGUAUUAGAGUUAUUGAUGGUAUCCAUAUUCUAGCAAUGGUAAUUGGACGUGAUAAAAGCAGUUAUAGAAAUCGUCAUGGAACAAUUUCUCAGAAUGUUUUGGCCGCUUGUAACUUUGAUUUGAAAUUUAUAAACGUGAUUAGUGGGUGGGAGGAAUUAGCACAUAAUUCUAAAGUGUUGAGUGAUGCUUUAACAAAGAGAAAUGGACUUGAAGUGCCAAAAGGUACGGCUUAAUUAUUUCAUUUUUUCUUUUAUCUUAUUGUUUCAAAUUACUUGUUAACUUUACAAUUAUUUUAUAUUCAUAUUCAGGUAAAUAUUUUUUGGGAGACUAUGGAUUUUCAAAUCGACGUCAGUUUUUAACUCCUUUUCGAGGUGUCCGUUAUCAUCUUCAAGAUUUUGUUGGUCAAGAUCGUGACCCUGAAAAUAUAAAGGACUUGUUUAAUCUUCGUCAUGUUUCCUUGAAGAACGUAGUUGAGAGGAUAUUUAGUAUAUUUAAAUCAAGAUUCACAAUUUUCAAAACAGCUCCUCCAUUUCUAUAUCGUACAUUCGUACACAAGCGGAACUCGUAUUAGCUUGCGCAGGAUUACACAAUUUUCUCCGCAAAGAAUGUCGUUCCGAUGAAUUUCCAAUUGAGCCUGAUAACGAAGAUUCAUCAUCUUUUUCGAUUAAUGAGGGGGAAGGCUUUGAACCAUUUUUUUAGAGUCAAGAGCAAGAAAGAGAAAAUGUUAAUGCAUGGAGGGCUUCUCUAGUAGCAGACAUGUGGAAUGAUGUUGAAAAUGUUUAAUUUUUUUUAUUUUUAUUUUUUGUUGAUCAUUACUAAAAUACUUUUAUUUUUUUAAUAUUUUGAUUAUUUGUUAAUCUACUUGAUAUAACUUCAAUUUUUUUUGGAAAAGAAAUUGACAUGGAAAAU
rnacentral:lncRNA from 1 species